GACAGAGGAUGCAAGCGUUAUCCGGAAUGAUUGGGCGUAAAGCGUCUGUAGGUGGCUUAAAAAGUCUCCUGUCAAAGAUCAGGCUUAACCCUGGGCCGCAGGAGAAACUCUUAGGCUAGAGUUUGGUAGGGGCAGAGGGAAUUCCCGGUGGAGCGGUGAAAUGCGUAGAGAUCGGGAGGAACACCAAAGGCGAAAGCACUCUGCUGGGCCACAACUGACACUGAGAGACGAAAGCGAGGGGAGCAAAAGGG
rnacentral:rRNA from 1 species